rnacentral:tRNA from 1 species
GUUCCUUUAGCUUAGCUAAAGCGUUAUAUUGAAAAUAUAAAGACAUUUAUUUAUAAAUUUUGAACA